rnacentral:rRNA from 1 species
GCAGCCUGAUGCAGCGACGCCGCGUGAGGGAUGACGGCCUUCGGGUUGUAAACCUCUUUCAGCAGGGACGAAGCGCAAGUGACGGUACCUGUAGAAGAAGCACCGGCCAACUACGUGCCAGCAGCCGCGGUAAUACGUAGGGUGCGAGCGUUGUCCGGAAUUACUGGGCGUAAAGAGCUCGUAGGUGGUUUGUCGCGUUGUUCGUGAAAACUCACAGCUCAACUGUGGGCGUGCGGGCGAUACGGGCAGACUUGAGUACUGCAGGGGAGACUGGAAUUCCUGGUGUAGCGGUGGAAUGCGCAGAUAUCAGGAGGAACACCGGUGGCGAAGGCGGGUCUCUGGGCAGUAACUGACGCUGAGGAGCGAAAGCGUGGGGAGCGAACAGGAUUAGAUACCCUGGUAGUCCACGCCGUAAACGGUGGGUACUAGGUGUGGGUUUCCUUCCUUGGGAUCCGUGCCGUAGCUAACGCAUUAAGUACCCCGCCUGGGGAGUACGGCCGCAAGGCUAAAACUCAAAGAAAUUGACGGGGGCCCGCACAAGCGGCGGAGCAUGUGGAUUAAUUCGAUGCAACGCGAAGAACCUUACCUGGGUUUGACAUGCACAGGACGCCGGCAGAGAUGUCGGUUCCCUUGUGGCCUG